GACGAACGCUGGCGGCGUGCUUAACACAUGCAAGUCGAACGGAAAGGCCCUGCUUUUGUGGGGUGCUCGAGUGGCGAACGGGUGAGUAACACGUGAGUAACCUGCCCUUGACUUUCGGAUAACUUCAGGAAACUGGGGCUAAUACCGGCUAGGAGCUCCUGAUGCAUGGUGGGGGUUGGAAAGUUUCGGCGGUUGGGGUUGGACUCGCGGCUUAUCAGCUUGUUGGUGGGGGAGUGGCUGACCAAGGCUUUGACGGGUAGCCGGCCUGGGAGGGUGAUCGGCCACAUUGGGACUGAGAGACGGCCCAGACGCGUACGGGAGGCAGCAGUGGGGAAUCUGGCACAAUGGGCGGGAGCCGGAGGCAGCAACGCCGCGUGCGGGAUGACGGCCUUCGGGGUGUAAACCGCUGUCGCCUGUGACGAAGCGGGAGUGACGGUAAUGGGUAAAGAAGCACCGGCUAACUACGUG
rnacentral:rRNA from 1 species